UACGGGGGGGGCAAACGUUGUUCGGAAUCACUGGGCGUAAAGGGUGCGUAGGCGGUUCAGUAAGUCUGGCGUGAAAUCCUCUCGCUCACCGAGAGAACUGCGUUGGAAACUACUGAGCUCGAGGAUGGGAGAGGCAGGUGGAAUUCCUGGUGUAGCGGUGGAAUGCGUAGAUAUCAGGAAGAACACUCGUGGCGAAGGCGGCCUGCUGGCCCAUUUCUGACGCUGAGGCACGAAAGCCAGGGGAGCAAACGGG
rnacentral:rRNA from 1 species